AGGGCUUCAGGCAUUCAUUGUAUCUUCCUUAGAACCACUUUAUCUUUAUAGAAAAUGGUAUUAUUUAAAAAAAAAAAAAAUAAAAAAAAAAAACAUCUGUCUCAAAGUGAUAUUCUAUAGGAAGUCAACCAAUGAAAACACACUUUUUAACCUCACCUUCGUCGAUUUUCAAUUAUUUUGUUUUCAAAUGUGACAUACUAAAAAGGCCACCUAAGGUUGCCUACUCAGAGAUUAUUAUUAUUUUUUUUUUUUUACCUGAAACUGAAAGAAGCAAGGUGGUUUAAACCACUCUAGGACUUACCCAAGAAGUUUAGCCUUGAUGUGGCUGGUGAGCUUAUACUGUAU